UCAAUCUUGCAUGCUUAUAAACUACUACUGAUGUAUCAGUUAAAGAGGAGAUCAAAGAAGAAACCCAUCGUCCAAAAUAUGUAACAAUCAAACAGGAAGAGUUACAAGAAAUUCUAAAGGAUGUUGAUCGCGAUGAAGAGAAAUUGUGGUGUGACAAUAUGUAUGAGAUCGUUGAGAUGUUUAAGCCGUAUGAUUACUAGAUUUUUAACCUCAUGAUUCAAAGUACUUGACACUUGAGCUUUUAGUUUUCAACAUUUAUGUUUAAGACUUAUCUUUUCCUUAUUUGUGUGCUACUUUAUAUAACUUUUAGUUAUGUUAAAGACUUAUUUU
rnacentral:lncRNA from 1 species